rnacentral:rRNA from 1 species
GAUCAUGGCUCAAGACGAACGCUGGCGGCGUGCCUAACACAUGCAAGUCGAACGAAGCACUGUGGAUAGAGACUUCGGUCAAUUGAAGCUUUGACUUAGUGGCGGACGGGUGAGUAACGCGUGAGGAACCUGCCUUUCAGUGGGGGACAACAGUUGGAAACGACUGCUAAUACCGCAUAAUGUGUUUUGGGGGCAUCCCCGGAACACCAAAGAUUUAUUGCUGAAAGAUGGCCUCGCGU